rnacentral:rRNA from 1 species
GUCUACGGCCAUACCACCCUAAACGCGCCCGAUCUCGUCUAAUCUCGGAAGCUAAGCAGGGUCGGGCCUGGUUAGUACUUGGAUGGGAGAAGAGUGGCCAAGAACUGCAAUGA